rnacentral:rRNA from 1 species
GAGUGGCGAACGGGUGAGUAACACGUGGGUAACCUGCCCAUCAGAAGGGGAUAACACUUGGAAACAGGUGCUAAUACCGUAUAACACUAUUUUCCGCAUGGAAGAAAGUUGAAAGGCGCUUUUGCGUCACUGAUGGAUGGACCCGCGGUGCAUUAGCUAGUUGGUGAGGUAACGGCUCACCAAGGCCACGAUGCAUAGCCGACCUGAGAGGGUGAUCGGCCACACUGGGACUGAGACACGGCCCAGACUCCUACGGGAGGCAGCAGUAGGGGAUCUUCGGCAAUGGACGAAAGUCUGACCGAGCAACGCCGCGUGAGUGAAGAAGGUUUUCGGAUCGUAAAACUCUGUUGUUAGAGAAGAACAAGGAUGAGAGUAAAAUGUUCAUCCCUUGACGGUAUCUAACCAGAAAGCCACGGCUAACUACGUGCCAGCAGCCGCGGUAAUACGUAGGUGGCAAGCGUUGUCCGGAUUUAUUGGGCGUAAAGCGAGCGCAGGCGGUUUCUUAAGUCUGAUGUGAAAGCCCCCGGCUCAACCGGGGAGGGUCAUUGGAAACUGGGAGACUUGAGUGCAGAAGAGGAGAGUGGAAUUCCAUGUGUAGCGGUGAAAUGCGUAGAUAUAUGGAGGAACACCAGUGGCGAAGGCGGCUCUCUGGUCUGUAACUGACGCUGAGGCUCGAAAGCGUGGGGAGCGAACAGGAUUAGAUACCCUGGUAGUCCACGCCGUAAACGAUGAGUGCUAAGUGUUGGAGGGUUUCCGCCCUUCAGU